AACGAACGCUGGCGGCAGGCCUAACACAUGCAAGUCGAGCGCCCCGCAAGGGGAGCGGCGGACGGGUGAGUAACGCGUGGGAAUAUGCCCUUUGCUACGGAAUAGUCUCGGGAAACUGGGGGUAAUACCGUAUACGCCCUUUGGGGGAAAGAUUUAUCGGCGAAGGAUUAGCCCGCGUUGGAUUAGGUAGUUGGUGGGGUAAUGGCCUACCAAGCCGACGAUCCAUAGCUGGUUUGAGAGGAUGAUCAGCCACACUGGGACUGAGACACGGCCCAGACUCCUACGGGAGGCAGCAGUGGGGAAUCUUAGACAAUGGGGCAACCCUGAUCUAGCCAUGCCGCGUGAGUGAUGAAGGCCUUAGGGUUGUAAAGCUCUUUCAGCUGGGAAGAUAAUGACGGUACCAGCAGAAGAAGCCCCGGCUAACUCCGUG
rnacentral:rRNA from 1 species